rnacentral:lncRNA from 1 species
GGCGGCGGGGCCCGGCGCCAUGGAUCGCAACCCCUCGCCGCCCUCCAGCGAGGCGGAGGAGGAGAGCGACGCGGUGGGCAGCACGGUGUACAGCAAGCACUGGCUCUUCAGCAUCCUCACGCGCCUCAUCGAGCUCAUCAGCCCCGAGAAGUCCGAGCCCAGCGGGAACCCCGAGGGGAUCCAGACGGACCUGGACGAAGAGAUGGAGAACGACAUCUGCAAGGUGUGGGACAUGUCCAUGGAUGAGGUAGGAGCUGGGCCCUGGGGUCCGAGUUUUAUCAAUCUGAAGUCUUGUGGGGAAGAGUUGAGGAGAGGUGCGGGCUGAAGGUGUUUCAGGUGGUACCGCCUGUCUGGCCCGGCUGGCAGCCUCCUUGGAGUCUCCGAGCAGA